CAACCWUGCUGUAAGCACAAAGUGAACUAUUCUUUUCGCCUUUUGCUAAAGAAUCCGUGUGUUUUUUGCUGACAGCGUCAUAUGCCUACUUUUGGAGGGUUUUCUCCAAACCG
rfam:Nelumbo nucifera unplaced genomic scaffold scaffold00718, whole genome shotgun sequence